GAUGAACGCUGACAGAAUGCUUAACACAUGCAAGUCUACUUGAUUCUACUUCGGUAGUCGAUGGUGGCGGACGGGUGAGUAACGCGUAAAGAAUCUGCCCUUUAGUUUGGGAUAACCUUUGGAAACGAAGGCUAAUACCGGAUAUUAUGGAGACGUCGCAUGGCGACUCCAUGAAAGCUAUAUGCGCUAGAGGAGGACUUUGCGUCCCAUUAGUUAGUUGGUGAGGUAAUGGCUCACCAAGACCGCGAUGGGUAGCCGGCCUGAGAGGGUGAUCGGCCACAAGGGAACUGAGACACGGUCCUUACUCCUACGGGAGGCAGCAGUGGGGAAUAUUGGACAAUGGGCCACAAGCCUGAUCCAGCAAUUCUGUGUGCACGAUGAAGGUCUUCGGAUUGUAAAGUGCUUUCAGUAGGGAAGAAAAAAAUGACGGUACCUACAGAAGAAGCGACGGCUAAAUAUGUGCCAGCAGCCGCCGUAACAC
rnacentral:rRNA from 1 species